CUCCCUGUUCUGGACCGUGUGCUGCCUCUUUCUGCUGCCGCUCCCCUGGCUUGAUUUCCUGGCAUCUGAUUUGUGGUUGUGAUCGCAAGUUUGUCUUUUGCUUCUGAUCUUCCAGGAUCCUGACCCAGCUGACUCUUGACUCCUGUCAUGGCUCACCAUCCAUCUUGGAGCUGAACACCAGGUGGGAGCUGAUAGAUUGUCCUUGGUGGGCCAGGUUCUUGUGUGUGAUUGAGCUGUGUGCCAGAGAGGGCCAGGAGCAGAUUCACCACGCAGGACCAGGCUAAACAGCCUGUAAUGCUAGUCAGUCAACCAGUGAGGCCAGUUUGCAGAAUGUGGAAGAGCUGUUUGGCGAUGGGUUGGAGGAUUCACCAUGUAGGUGGCAGCAGCUUCAGUGCCUGGGGUCUGCAUGGGCCAAGCCUCCACUCCUGACACUCCAGGCUAAUUUCCCACUGCUCUCAGUGGGGCUUUGGCUUCAGCUGCUGGGCCUGCAUCCCUAGGUAGAGGACUCAGGUAUUUCCAUCAGGCUGCUCAAUGGCAAAUGCAGCCAUCCAAAGAAGGGAAGAAGAAUGGAAGUGAAAGAGCAAAGCUGGACCAUCCGCUGAGCUGCUGCAAUCAAGUGAGCGGAGCUGGGGAGAGAAGAGGGAGAAUUCGAAGGUGGCUGGCGGCAGUAGGGAGGAGAAGCA